rnacentral:rRNA from 1 species
CCUACGGGUGGCAGCAGUGAGGAAUAUUGGUCAAUGGACGAGAGUCUGAACCAGCCAAGUAGCGUGAAGGAUGACUGCCCUAUGGGUUGUAAACUUCUUUUAUAUGGGAAUAAAAUGUUCCACGUGUGGGAUUUUGUAUGUACCAUAUGAAUAAGGAUCGGUUAACUCCGUGCCAGCAGCCGCGGUAAUACGGAGGAUCCGAGCGUUAUACGGAUUUAUUGGGUUUAAAGGGAGCGUAGGUGGAUUGUUAAGUCAGUUGUGAAAGUUUGGGGCUCAACCGUAAAAUUGCAGUUGAAACUGGCAGUCUUGAGUACAGGAGAGGUGUGCGGAAUUCGUGGUGUAGCGGUGAAAUGCUUAGAUAUCGCGAAGAACUCCGAUUGCGAAGGCAGUUCACUGGACUGCAACUGACACUGAGGCUCGAAAGUGUGGGUAUCAAACAGGAUUAGAUACCCCUGUAGUC